AGCGAACGCUGGCGGCAUGCCUAACACAUGCAAGUCGCACGGGGGGGCUUCGGCCUCCCAGUGGCGGACGGGUGAGGAACGCGUAGGGACCUGUCGAGGGGUGGGGGAUAACCGCGGGAAACUGCGGCUAAUACCGCAUGACGCCGCGGCGUGACAGCCGGGGCCAAAGGCGAAAGCCGCCCGCCGAGGGGCCUGCGUCCGAUUAGCUGGUUGGCGGGGUAGCGGCCCACCAAGGCGUCGAUCGGGAGCUGGUCUGAGAGGGUGAUCAGCCACACCGGGACUGGGACACGGCCCGGACUCCUACGGGAGGCAGCAGUGGGGAAUAUUGGACAAUGGGCGCAAGCCUGAUCCAGCAAUGCCGCGUGGGUGAAGAAGGUCUUCGGAUUGUAAAGCCCUUUCGGCGGGGACGAUGGUGACGGUACCCGCAGAAGAAGCCCCGGCUAACUUCGUG
rnacentral:rRNA from 1 species